AAAAAAGAAAAAAGAAACCACUUUCUUUGCUUGUCCAUAAAAAGCAAUGUUUCAUCUGUUCAAGUUUUAUCAUAUUACAACAGAACUAAUUCUAGUUCUAUUGCUGUCUCUACCAUAUCUGCAGUUACUUCCUCCUCUUAAGUCCCAAACUCUUCAAAGUCAUCCAUGAGGGUUGGAAUCAACUUCUUCCAAACUGUUAAUGGUGACAUUCUGACCUCCUCCCAUGAAUCCUGAAUGGUCUUAACAGCAUCUAAAAUGGCUCAUCCUGUCCUUUCCCUGCUCCAGCUAUGGAAUCUACCAUAUCUCCAAAGAAUCCUGGAAGAGCCUCUCCUGAGACAAAAUCAUAUAUCAGAAAACUAAUAAGACAGGAAAUUUAAGUACACGUUGAAAGAAAAAGAUACUUUGUUACACGAAGCUGAAGUCAGUGAAACUUGUAACAAGGCAGGCUCAAACAGAGGUACCAACUACAGGUAUUUUAUUUUUAUUUAAUAACAAUAAUGUUUCACUGAUUUCCUUGAGUUCUCAAAGAUCUAAGUAAAUUUUAGUAUGCAAUCCUAUCUUAAAGCUAGGAACCUACAAGAAACAACCAAAUAUCAACCCCAAACAGUGACAAAGUGAUUAUUAGUAGGGCCAAGCUAGGGGGGUGGGAAGGGGAAGCCAUGGUAGCCUACUGCAGGUGUUAAUGCCUGACCUGGGUUACAAUGGGUUCACAUGGGGCUGUUGGUAGCCUGGUCCAGUACUGAGGAGAGUAUCUGUGCAGGAGGGUGGCCUGGUGCAGGCUGGCGAAGCACAGGCAGGGUAAAGAGGGUAUCUCCACAAAGGCAUGGUCUGGCUUCAGGUGAGGAAGGAAUCUGUCUGGGGUCGGGCAGAGGCUAGCGGGUGGGAAGGAUGAGAUGGAGAGGCACCUGGCACAAAGCGUCAGAGCAGAGCUCAGUAAAAGGGACUCCAUGACGAAGAGCAACCUGGCACGGAUGUCAGAGCCCAGACAAGGUAAAAGAAGUGUCAAUGCUGGGUGCGGCGCCAUGUGGUGGCCUGGUGUGUAGUGUUGAGUCCGAGCUGGGGAAAAAGAACAUUUCUGCAAUGGAA
rnacentral:lncRNA from 1 species